rnacentral:rRNA from 1 species
UGCAAGUCGAGCGGACAGAUGGGAGCUUGCUCCCUGAUGUUAGCGGCGGACGGGUGAGUAACACGUGGGUAACCUGCCUGUAAGACUGGGAUAACUCCGGGAAACCGGGGCUAAUACCGGAUGGUUGUUUGAACCGCAUGGUUCAAACAUAAAAGGUGGCUUCGGCUACCACUUACAGAUGGACCCGCGGCGCAUUAGCUAGUUGGUGAGGUAACGGCUCACCAAGGCAACGAUGCGUAGCCGACCUGAGAGGGUGAUCGGCCACACUGGGACUGAGACACGGCCCAGACUCCUACGGGAGGCAGCAGUAGGGAAUCUUCCGCAAUGGACGAAAGUCUGACGGAGCAACGCCGCGUGAGUGAUGAAGGUUUUCGGAUCGUAAAGCUCUGUUGUUAGGGAAGAACAAGUACCGUUCGAAUAGGGCGGUACCUUGACGGUACCUAACCAGAAAGCCACGGCUAACUACGUGCCAGCAGCCGCGGUAAUACGUAGGUGGCAAGCGUUGUCCGGAAUUAUUGGGCGUAAAGGGCUCGCAGGCGGUUUCUUAAGUCUGAUGUGAAAGCCCCCGGCUCAACCGGGGAGGGUCAUUGGAAACUGGGGAACUUGAGUGCAGAAGAGGAGAGUGGAAUUCCACGUGUAGCGGUGAAAUGCGUAGAGAUGUGGAGGAACACCAGUGGCGAAGGCGACUCUCUGGUCUGUAACUGACGCUGAGGAGCGAAAGCGUGGGGAGCGAACAGGAUUAGAUACCCUGGUAUUCCACGCCGUAAACGAUGAGUGCUAAGUGUUAGGGGUUUCCCGCCCUUAUUGCU